CCUACGGGUGGCAGCAGUGGGGAAUAUUGCACAAUGGGGGAAACCCUGAUGCAGCGACGCCGCGUGAGUGAAGAAGUUAUUCGUUAUGUAAAGCUCUAUCAGCAGGGAAGAAAAAGACGGUACGUGAGUAAGAAGCCCCGGCCACCAACUUGCCAGCAGGCGCGGUAAUACGUAGGGGGCAAGCGUUAUACGGAUUUACUGGGUGUAAAGGGGGCGUAGUCGGGAGUGCAAGUCUGGAGUGAAAGGCGGGGGCUCAACCCCCGGACUGCCCUGGAAACUGUACGGCUGGAGUGCAGAAGAGGUAAGUGGAAUUCCAAGUGUAGCGGUGAAAUGCGUAGAUAUUAGGAGGAACACCAGUGGCGAAGGCGGCUUACUGGACUGUAACUGACGUUGAGGCUCGAAAGCGUGGGGAGCAAACAGGAUUAGAUACCCGGGUAGUC
rnacentral:rRNA from 1 species